GUGCUUGCUUCAGCAGCACAUAUACUAAAAUUGGAACGAUAAAGAGAAGAUAAGCAUGGCUGACAAGAGAGAGAUGUUGCUGCUUUGU
rnacentral:snRNA from 1 species